AGCAGUAUGGUGUAUUGCUGAACGCGGGGUAUCUGUAAAAUCCCAUUGACCCCGAGGCCCUUGUUCGAUUCAAGGUGCUGCUU